AGAGUUUGAUCCUGGCUCAGGAUGAACGCUAGCGGGAGGCCUAACACAUGCAAGUCGAACGGGAUUGAUAGCAAUAUCAUGAGAGUGGCGCACGGGUGAGUAACGCGUAUGCAACCUACCUUUAACUGAGGGAUAGCCCAUAGAAAUGUGGAUUAAUAUCCCAUAGUGCCAUUUUCCCGCAUGGGUUUAUGGUUAAAACGAGGUGGUAUAAGAUGGGCAUGCGUCCGAUUAGGUAGUUGGUAGGGUAACGGCCUACCAAGCCGAUGAUCGGUAGGGGUCCUGAGAGGGUUACCCCCCACACUGGUACUGAGACACGGACCAGACUCCUACGGGAGGCAGCAGUGAGGAAUAUUGGUCAAUGGGCGAGAGCCUGAACCAGCCAUCCCGCGUGCAGGAUGACGGCCCUAUGGGUUGUAAACUGCUUUUCCGCGCCAAGAAACCCCCCUACGUGUAGGGGCUGACGGUAGCGCGGGAAUAAGCACCGGCUAACUCCGUGCCAGCAGCCGCGGUAAUACGGAGGGUGCAAGCGUUAUCCGGAUUCAUUGGGUUUAAAGGGUGCGCAGGCGGGGAAAUAAGUCAGUGGUGAAAUACUGCCGCUCAACGGUAGGGCUGCCAUUGAUACUGUUUUUCUUGAGUAUGGUUGAGGCAGGUGGAAUGUGUUGUGUAGCGGUGAAAUGCAUAGAUAUGACACAGAACGCCGAUUGCGAAGGCAACUGCUAAGCCAUCACUGACGCUGAGGCACGAAAGCGUGGGUAGCGAACAGGAUUAGAUACCCUGGUAGUCCACGCCGUAAACGAUGUUCACUCGCUGUUUGCGAUACACAGUAAGCGGCCGAGCGAAAGCAUUAAGUGAACCACCUGGGGAGUACGAUCGCAAGGUUGAAACUCAAAGGAAUUGACGGGGGCCCGCACAAGCGGUGGAGUAUGUGGUUUAAUUCGACGCAACGCGAAGAACCUUACCAGGGUUUGACAUCACUGAGUACUUAAGAGAUUAGAUAGGCCCCUUCGGGGGACAGUGAGACAGGUGGUGCAUGGCUGUCGUCAGCUCGUGUCGUGAGAUGUUGGGUUAAGUCCCGCAACGAGCGCAACCCUUAUCCUGUGUUACCAGCGUGAAAGACGGGGACUCACAGGAGACUGCCGCCGACAAGGCGGAGGAAGGCGGGGAUGACGUCAAGUCAUCAUGCCCCUUAUGUCCUGGGCUACACACGUACUACAAUGGGUGCGAACAGAGGCAGCAAUCCCGCGAGGGGGAGCCAAUCCCACAAAAGCACUCUCAGUUCGGAUCGCAGGCUGCAACUCGCCUGCGUGAAGUCGGAAUCGCUAGUAAUCGCAGAUCAGCAGGCUGCGGUGAAUACGUUCCCGGGCCUUGUACACACCGCCCGUCACACCACGAAAGUCUGCAACACCCGAAGCCGGUGGGGUAACCGCAAGGAGCCAGCCGUCGAAGGUGGGGCCGAUGAUUGGGGUGAAGUCGUAACAAGGUAACC
rnacentral:rRNA from 1 species